rnacentral:rRNA from 1 species
GACGAACGCUGGCGGCGUGCUUAACACAUGCAAGUCGAACGGAAAGGCCCUGCUCUUGUUGGGUGCUCGUGUGGCGAGCGGGUGAGUAACACGUGAGUAUCCUGCCCUUGACUUUGUGAUAACUUCAGGAAACUGGGGAUAAUACCGGCUAGGAGCUCCUGCUGCAUGGUGGGGGUUGGAAAGUUUCGGCUGUUGGGGAUGGACUCGCGGCUUAUCAGCUUGUUGGUGGGGUAGUGGCUUACCAAGGCUUCGACGGGUAGCCGGCCUGAGAGGGUGACCGGGCACAAGGGGACUGAGGGACGGCGCAGAAGGCUACGGGAGGCAGCAGUGGGGAAUAUGACACAGUGGGGGGGAGCCUGAGACGGCGACGCCGGGUGCGGGAAGACCGCCUUCGGGGUGUAAACAGCUUUCGCCUGUUACGAAGCGUGAGUGACGGUAAUGGGUAAAGAAGCACCGGCUAACUACGUG